AACAGGCCAGGCAGACAGGCGUGAAUUAAAAACGUAUUAUUAAUUGAAUAUUAAAUUUUUAUGCAGCACAACUCGAACGAAAAAUUGGCGGUUGAUCUUAGACAGUGUGUACUCACGUAAUUUGGAAGAUAGAAGAAGGCGCCAAAAUGCGUAACAAGUGGCGGCAGCAUCGGAAGUUGUUUCGGUUUAUUCAGUAUCAACGACGGCGACGACGGCGGCGACCACGACGAAAACACAACAGACAGAGGACGCCAAGCAUCGUCGGCGACGACCAGCACGACGACAACUUGUCGGCAUCAUUUUACUUCUCAAUGAAGUGAACGUCCCCCCGAAACUCACACAAUACACGCAAAUAUUGAAGCGACGACACCCAGUAUGCAGCAGCCACAGCUGGAUGAGGCGGCUAGCAAUUGUGGCGACGAAUCCCCCCGUCGCAUUGUCCUCACGUCGCGACAGAAAGUGUGAAAAUGGCACGACCUACAGCCAGCCAGUAAACACACGCACACUCUCACACACACAACAUAAUCUAACUUGUAAGCAUGCAGGACAAAACGGAUGCGGACACUCGUUUAAAACGUUGAAUACGACGCAGAACUUUGAUUUGCAAACUGAGAAACACAGAGACAGUCGGGCAACGUGCUCUCGCGAAUUGGGCGCCAUUAUUGCUGCCAUUGUCGCGACCAAAUGCCGCUGUUCUCCCAAUUAGAAGCUGAAAUGGUCGUCGCGUCGAUGAUGGUGACGAGUUAUGUUUAAACUUCCGCUGGCAUUUUGAUGAUGAUACAGACGGCAAGUGCCAACAUUUUUAUGCGGGUCUGUCCUUUUAAUAUUAGUUGAAAUCUAUGCUAAUUAGAAGCAGUCAAAGCAUACAAUGAUGUGCUAAAGGAUCUAAAGCAUUCAUGGUAGUAUAAACUUGUCAAUGGGUUUAUAAACAGGGAUUAUAAACUAUUUAAAAUUAUCGCACAUAGCGUAGAUUGAGCGAAAUUAAAAAAAAAAAAACCCAAAGUAAAGACCCCCUAUUUAAAGUUUAAUAAAACAUAAAAGUUCUAUUAAAAAAAAAAAAAGAGUUAACAGAUAAUUCUAUUGAAUUUCAAUAUCUUAUUUCAUCUCUGAACAAAAAUCAAAAUAAAAAAGAAAAGUCAUUUAGGUUUGAUAGAAAUAAGAUUUUAUUAUGUGUCGCCUGUGAAAUGGUUGCUUUUUAUUAUUAUUAUUAUUAUGCUGCCAAGUUUUGCUUGGUUUGUUUUUUGCUUCUAUAAACACUAAACAAAAAUUUUGCAUUAUAGAAAAAAUUGAAGUGCUAUAAAUAUAAGUACAUAUACACAACAUAUACCAUAAUUGUUUAGUUGUAGUAUAUGCAAUCUCUUCGCUUAAAAGACUAUCCCUAUUUUAACUAUUAUUUGAUUGUGUAUAAAACUUGACUUUUCAUGUUUUUUUGUUUUGUUUUUUCAUUUUUUUGUUUGCAAAAUAUAUGUUAUCUAUGUUGGUUGUGAGGUUGCGAAUAUAGCAUAAAAUAAAUGUGAAGCUUAAAACGAUUAAAAAAAACAACAGACAAAUUAAGAAUAUUCACGAUUAAAUAGAUACAAAACAGAUAUCGAUUCUUAAAAAAAAUUCCCAAUUUCAAAGACCACGGAUAUUGAAAACAAAUAUUUAUCCGUUGCUUUUAGUUUUUUUGUAUGUUUUUAAUCUAUUUAAAACCGAAAUGAGUUUAUAGG